rfam:Candidatus Amoebophilus sp. 36-38 SCNpilot_cont_1000_p_scaffold_2284, whole genome shotgun sequence.
UCCUCCUUAGCUCAGUUGGUUAGAGCAUCUGACUGUUAAUCAGAGGGUCGCUGGUUCAAGUCCAGCAGGAGGAG